UAAGCUCCAAGGAUAGAGUAGCACAAUACAACAUCCAUCCAGGCUUAGUGACUUAGUGAAUAAAACCUGUGAUUAUUUUCCCUAAACUUCAACUCAUGAUGAAGGGAAGGUAGAAUCCAGUGAGACAUGAAUCCUGGCAGAAUCAAACAGGGCUACAUAGAUCUGGCACAAAAUUCUCAAUCAAAAGCUGAGUAAAACUCAGAAGAUAUUGAAAUAUGAAAAAAUAUUAUUGGUCAAGGAAUGCCACAGAGUGCCUUCUGUCAUGGGACAGCUGAAAUUUAGUACAUUGGAGGAAUACCAUGCUGAUAUGUACAAAAGUGUCCUUCCUAAUCCAAACACUCUUUCUGCAGAACUUCAUUGUUGGAGAAUUAAAUGGAAACACAAAGGAAAAGGUAAUGAGCUUCUAGCACCAACUUAUGAAGCUUUGCAUCUGCCAGACAUCAUUUUUCUGCUAAUGUUUAUGCAUUGCUUAAAGUACUCUGUAUACUCCCAUUGAUGAAGGUUGAGAAUGACAGAUAUGAAAAUGGUUGAAAACAUCAUAAGGCAUACCUGAGGGAUACUGUCAAGUAAAGGCUUUGUUUAACAUAAACUUUGAUGUAAAACAUGACUUAGAUUUAGUGGUGGACAUUUACAUCAAACUCUACAUAAGUAAUUUGGCCUCCAAGAAGAAGUUCUUCCCACAAGUAAUUCAGAGAUAACUGAAAAUACAUAAGAAAAUUGACCAAAAUAGAUUUUCUCCAUGAAUUUACACAUUGGGGGUUGAGAGAGAAGCCCUGAAAUAUUGAU